AAAAAAGCAUGGGGUCAAAUACAAGAUAAAAGUCUGUAUACAGAGAAAAGUAAGUAACUAAGCCCAUCCAACUAAAGUCCAACUACCACUGGAGUCGUCGAAAACGUUUUACAUAAAAGGUAAAGAAUCAAAGGCCUCCCAACAAUAGUCAUUAUACAUGGCUUAACCAAAGAGAGGCUUAAACCAAGACAUCUAUUGGAGCUUCACUGUUCCAAGUAGAUUAAUCAAAUCCCAAGCCGAGACAAAGUGGAGAAAUUCAGGGCAUCAUAAGAACUGGUGGAGGAAGAGGUGGCAGACCUCUUGGCGACUCACUCGUGUCUUACGAGCCCACAAAGGACCUAACAAGAUACGAGUCUCUACACUGAGCAAUUCCUCACGCCCUCAGCAACAACUGAU
rnacentral:misc_RNA from 1 species